AUAAAUCUCCCCCAAUGACAACCGUAAACCUUUGCUGGACAACUGGAGGUCGGCCAAGGUGUUUAUUUUCGUUUGAAUCCAACAUCUCUUUUAACUCCUAAAACUCUCAGAGCUAAGCGGUCUGCCGGCAGCCCCUUCGGCAGUCAUAACACUCUACUCUCCAGGACAGACGAAAUAAAAGAAAACAAGAAUGAAUCAUCUAACAGAAUUGUCCAGAGCAGGAGGCCGGAAGAAGCACACUGACUUGUGUGAAACAGCCGGCGUCGCCUCCGAGCGCCUAUCCUACUGCACCGAUGCUGUGACCCAGCCUUCCGUGGACCGGAUCCCCACGCCGACUGAUCUCUGCUGAGCGGUUGAUCACAAUGUCAUCACCACGCAGCAUUUUUACCAGCAGUCCAAAUGGGACUCCAAGACCCCAACAUCUGAUGGAUAGUCCACCAG